CAGUCACGGUCAUAAAAGUGGUUUUUGCUAAUACCCAUGACUCCUCACUUGGAUGUACAGAUGCCCAAUAGCUUUCACUUGUGAACUCAUCCUGUUGCGACUUCCAUUAUCACCAACGCAAGGACCCCCGCUAGUUGGUGACAGCUUCACUGUACAAGGGAUGAGUGUUCAAUUGAUUUUUGUAUAUUGAUCUUGUGUCCUGCUGAACUGGUUUGUUAAUUCUAAUAGAGUUUCAUAUUUCUGGGCUCCUGGAGGAGCCAAUUAUCCUUGGAUACUGAGGACAACUCUGUGUAAAUACAUAUCUGUAUUUAUAGAUACAUCUAUUUUAUAUAUUAAGUAAUUAUAUGUUGUAUAUUAUGUACAUAUAAUUAUAGAAUAUCUGUUGAGAAAGAGGUAAACUGUUGGUUGUUUAGAGCCAGUUUGUCUGGGUUCAAAUCCACACUUUGCGCUUACUAAGUAUAUAACCUCGGGAGAGUCCUUGGCCUCAGCUUUUUCAUCCGUAAAAUGAGGACCAUAAGAGCAACGAACUUGGAGAAAGUACAAAGUACACUUCCAGUGAGGCAGCCCCGCUGCAUGCUCUGUGGCAUUGCAGUGAGGAUUGUCCUUGGCCCUACAAGCCCACCUCAUGCCUCUUGGCCACUGACAAGCAGUCUGCUGUGUGGGCGGGUUCAUCAUUGUCUCCUAUGGGUGGGCUGAAGUUGCUUCUGAUUUUUCUUACUACAAAUAAUGCACUAGUGAACACACUGGACAGGUGUACUUUUAUCUUGGAAGUUACAACCAAAUUGUUAAAGCCGAGAAUGAUGGCACAUGCCUAUAAUCCAAACACUCAGGAGGCUGAGGCAGGAGGACCAGGCCAGCCUGGGCUCCAUAGUAGGUUCAAGGCCAGCCUGACCUACAUAGUGAGACCCUGUCUCAAAAAACACAACAGUAGCAGUUGCCACUCCUGCCCACAUGUUCCUAAACCCCAGCAACAUCAGGUACCAGUGAUCAGCUCCAAUUUUGCCAAUCAUUUAGGAAGAAAAUGACAACACUUUGCUGUUUUGAUUGCAUUUCCCUGUUAUUGGGUGGCUAGGCAUCUCUUCAGGUGUAUUGACCUACCUUUCUCCUUUCUGUGCAUCUGCCUUUUUUCCUUUGCUCGUUUUUCAUGUAGGUUGUUGAUCUUUGUUAAAAAGCACUUUUUUUGGAGACAGGAUCUCUAGGGAGUGCAGACUGGCCUUGAACUCACUAUGUAGCCCAGGCUGGCCUCAAACUCAGAGAGAUUCUCCUGCCUCAGCCUUCUAAGUGCUGGUAUUACAGGCUUGUGCUAUGAUGCGUGGCUUUUUCUUUUUUAAAUAUAUCAAUUUAGAAUAGUUUUAUUUAUUUUUAUUUUUUGUCUUUUUCGUUUUUAUCGGUACCAGGGAUCAAACUCACGACUGUCUGCCUGCAAGGCAGGCGCUUAUGCUGCUGAGCUAAAUCCCCAGCCCCUAAAAUAGUUUUAGAUUUAUAGAAAAAUUGUGAAGACAUGUACUUCACUCUGUUUUCCUUUUAGCAUUCUUUUUUUUUUCUUUUGAGACAGGGUCUCCCUAUAUAGUUCAGGUUGGCCUUGAACUCAUGACAAUCUGGCCUACCUCAGCCUCCUGAGAGCUGGGAUUACAGGCAUGUGCCAUUGUUUCUGGGUCCCUUUUAUUGGCUCUUAAAUUGAUGUACAUUUGUCAAAAUUAAUAAACUAAUAAAAUAACUGAUAUUAUGAGUUUUGGGAGAAAAAUCACACAGAAAGUGCCAUUUUUGUCACUGUCAAGAUUGACCUUUAUCACCUGGUUGAGAGAGCAUCCCUUAAUGCCUUACUCUUAUCUCAUCUUUUUUGUUUUUAAAUGCUGGGUAUUAAACCCAGGGCUUUUGUACUGAACUGUAUCUGCAGCCUGCCCCCACUUUUUUUUUUUUUUUUUUUUUUUUUUAAGACAGAGUCUCACUAAAUUGAUUGGUCAGUUCGGGUUUGAACUUUUGAUCCUCUUGCAUUAUCUUCCCAGAAUGCUGGGCUUACAUGUGUGCACCACCACACCUGGCUUGAAUUUCGUUAGCUGUGUUUAUAGUGCCUUUUGUACAGAAGGCUUUGAAACUGGACACCAAGCAGCAGCAGUUGCAGGUCAUAGGUAGCAAGUGCUCCUGGACACCUCAGGACAAGCCAUAGCUCAGUCCUAUUACUGUUUUCAUGUUGUCACUGAGAAAGUAGACUCUUCCAGAAAUUAGCCACACUGAGAUGGCAAGAGACAGAGUGAGGGCUCGUGUGUUUAUGUGCACAAGCAAAGUCCAUAGAUGCUUGUCCAAGUCCACUUAGCAAAUGGUGGCUCUGCCAGAUCCCCCCUCUGCCCAGGCCACCUCUGACACCACUGCGUCUGCAGCUAUUUCUCACCCACCGUGCCAAUCCCUGGCCUCGGCCCUCACCUCAAACUGCCCACUCCUGCCCUUCUCCAGUUUGUGUCCUUUGGCCACUGUGGCUUCUGGGAUCAACAGGGGAAGGGACCCAGACUUCCUAGCAAAUAAAUGCUGCCCACAGGUUUCCAAAUAUACAGAGCUAACUUCUGGCCACAUCCAGUUGGCUGUAACUCCAAAUAUCCUUCCUGCCUUCUGAUCCUCCGGGUGAUAAGUUCCAGGUCCUGAGUCCUCUUUGUAGCAGCACCCCCCCCCCAUGUGGUGGGGAUGGAAUCAGCACUGAGGGGCACAGUCAGGGAUAAAGACAACAACAACAACAGCCAGGCCAACAGAAUGGUAGUAUGCAGCCGCAGUCCUGGUGUGGAUACUAUAUAAACGUAUACAGAUUUUUACUUGUUUUAUUUAUUUUUGUCAUUUUUUCAGUGCUGAGGGUUGAAUUCAGGACCUCAGAUAUGCUAGGCAAAUCUGAUCUAUGACCCCAGCCCAGACACAGUUUUUAAAACAAUUGUACACAGGCCCUUCACAGACAUUUUUGACAACAGUGUCUUCAUUGUCAUAUGAGCCCUUUUUGAGCCAUCUCACAGUGGUUCCUAGCACCCUGUACCCCUGGAUAGCCUCCUAUCCAGGGAGGUAAGUUGGGGUACAGAGUUCAUUAGCCAAGUGUUAGCCAUUUCCACAUGGUCAGGACUUGUAGAGAUUGUUGCUUUUCAAACCGCUCUGUGAGAAACAUAUGUGUCAAAUUAGGUUCCCCCACCUCAUCUACUGCCUGGGCAGUGUUAACUCAGGGCUGAUCUGCUCAUCUACAUUCUCAAAAGUCCAUUUCCUUCACCUUCCAAGAAAGUCCCAGACGUUGCAUGGUGCCAUCUAUACAAGUUUUUAAAAAUCUAAAAAAUGGAAGAAUCUUUUCUUAAUAUGACUACUAUAAUUGUUCUGCAAUAUCCUUGGAAAAUUGGUUCCAGGCUACCCAGGCUACCUAAAUCUGAGAAUGCUCAAGUCCCUUGUAUAAAAUGGUGCAGUAUUUUCAUAUAGUCUAUGCACAUCCUCCUGUGUACAUUUUUUUUUGAGACAUGAUCUCAUUAUAUAGUUCAGGUUGGCUUUGAGGUUGCUAUGUAGCCCAGGUUGGACUCAUGCUGGUCCUCCUGCUUCAACCUUGUGAGUGCUAGAGUUACAGGCCUGUGCCGCCAUGCCCAGCCUCCUCUUGUAUACUUUAAGUCAUUUCUAGAUUAUGCACAAUAUAUAAUACAAUACAAAUACAGGAUAAAUAGUUGUUACACUAUAUUCUUUAAGGAAUAAUGACAAGAAAGAAAAGUCUGUACAUGUUCGAUCUAGAUGUAAUUUUCCCCAAAUGUUUUUGAUCUGCAGUUGAAUCCACAGAUACAGAAGGUUGACUAUAUAAUUUCCAUUCCUAAAAAGAAAGUCAUAUCAUAUUAUCAAAUAUCUGGUUAAUGUUGAAAUUCUAAAUAUUUCAUCAUUUUUCUUUUUUCUUUCCUUACCUCUUCUUUUAAAGUAUGUUUGCUGUAAAUAAAGUUAGCACAUUAUAAUUGGUUAA